GUAGGUGAACCUGCGGAAGGAUCAUUAUUAUCAUUUAUAUAUUUUGUUCUGUUUUAACGAGCAGAGCAAAUUAUUUAUCCAAGAGUGUGAUUAUAUACAACAAUCUUCUUUUUAUACAAAAACAACCAAACAACAACAACAACAAAUAAAAAUAGAUAAAAGAACCAAAAAGAAAAACUAUACUAAUAGAGUAUUGUAAAAAUAAACAAAAAACAACUCUAGGCAAUGGAUAUCUUGGUUCCCGCAUCGA
rnacentral:misc_RNA from 1 species